GUGGGGAAUUUUGGACAAUGGGCACAAGCCUGAUCCAGCAAUGCCGCGUGCAGGAAGAAGGCCUUAGGGUUGUAAAGCUCUUUUACCCGGGAUGAUAAUGACAGUACCGGGAGAAUAAGCUCCGGCUAACUCCGUGCCAGCAGCCGCGGUAAUACGGAGGGAGCUAGCGUUGUUCGGAAUUACUGGGCGUAAAGCGCACGUAGGCGGCUUUGUAAGUUAGAGGUGAAAGCCUGGAGCUUAACUCCAGAACUGCCUUUAAGACUGCAUCGCUUGGAUCCAGGAGAGGUGAGUGGAAUUCCGAGUGUAGAGGUGAAAUUCGUAGAUAUUCGGAAGAACACCAGUGGCGAAGGCGGCUCACUGGACUGGUAUUGACGCUGAGGUGCGAAAGCGUGGGGAGCAAACAGGAUUAGAUACCCGUGUAGUCC
rnacentral:rRNA from 1 species